rnacentral:rRNA from 1 species
UAGAGUUUGAUUAUGGCUCAGAUUGAACGCUGGCGGCAUGCCUUACACAUGCAAGUCGAACGGUAGAGUAGCAAUACUCGAGAGUGGCGAACGGGUGAGUAAUAUAUCGGAACGUGCCCAGUCGUGGGGGAUAACGUAGAGAAAUUUACGCUAAUACCGCAUACGAUCUAAGGAUGAAAGCGGGGGAUUCGCAAGAACCUCGCGCGAUUGGAGCGGCUGAUAUCAGAUUAGGUUGUUGGUGAGGUAAAAGCUCACCAAGCCGACGAUCUGUAGCUGGUUUGAGAGAACGACCAGCCACACUGGGACUGAGACACGGCCCAGACUCCUACGGGAGGCAGCAGUGGGGAAUUUUGGACAAUGGGCGAAAGCCUGAUCCAGCAAUGCCGCGUGCAGGAAGAAGGCCUUCGGGUUGUAAACUGCUUUUGUACGGAACGAAAAGGCUCUUUCUAAUAAAGAGGGCCCAUGACGGUACCGUAAGAAUAAGCACCGGCUAACUACGUGCCAGCAGCCGCGGUAAUACGUAGGGUGCGAGCGUUAAUCGGAAUUACUGGGCGUAAAGCGUGCGCAGGCGGUUCUAUAAGACAGAUGUGAAAUCCCCGGGCUCAACCUGGGAAUGGCAUUUGUGACUGUAGAGCUAGAGUACGGUAGAGGGGGAUGGAAUUCCGCGUGUAGCAGUGAAAUGCGUAGAUAUGCGGAGGAACACCGAUGGCGAAGGCAAUCCCCUGGACCUGUACUGACGCUCAUGCCCGAAAGCGUGGGGAGCAACAGGAUUAGA